UACGGGGGGGGGCAAGCGUUGUUCGGAAUUACUGGGCGUAAAGGGCGCGUAGGCGGUUCGAUAAGUCAGCUGUGAAAACCAUGGGCUUAACUCAUGGCCUGCAGUUGAGACUGUCGGGCUGGAGUGUGGGAGAGGCGAGUGGAAUUCCUGGUGUAGCGGUGAAAUGCGCAGAUAUCAGGAGGAACACCAAUGGCGAAGGCAGCUCGCUGGGACGGUACUGACGCUGAGACGCGAAAGCGUGGGGAGCAAACAGG
rnacentral:rRNA from 1 species